rnacentral:rRNA from 1 species
AGAAUCAACGCUGGCGGCGUGCCUAACACAUGCAAGUCGAACGAGAAAGGGUAGCAAUACCUGAGUAAAGUGGCGCACGGGUGAGUAACACGUGACUAACCUACCCUGGAGUGGGGGAUAACCGAGGGAAACCUCAGCUAAUACCGCAUAACACCUACGGGUCAAAGGAGCAAUUCGCUUCAGGAGGGGGUCGCGGCCGAUUAGUUAGUUGGCGGGGUAAUGGCCCACCAAGACUGUGAUCGGUA